rnacentral:lncRNA from 1 species
CCAUGUCGGCAUGUCCCAUUCAUAAAACUACAUGGUUUUGUAUUACACUCAUAAUCCAAAAUUAAUUGCUUAAAUUCGCUGAAUCGGCUCGGCUUGUUCCAGCCGUCAAACCUUUUCUUCUACUUUCCUUCAGCAAUUCGGAUCAUCUCCCUUCUCUUUCGGAAAUUUUCUAUCUUCACCGAAAAAUGGGGAUUUCGUUCGUAUCACAGGAUUUGGCUAGGGAUAUCCAUCACCAAUCUUACUCUUCCGUCAAUCUUUUGUUCUUCUCCUUCUUCCCAAACUUGCAGACUCAAUUUUUGGUGCUUUUAUUCUGCCAUAAGAACAAAAAUUACUGGCGGGAACAUCACGACGUCCAUCGUCGGCGCAAUCGAACUUCUUUAUUUUGCUUCUUUUACUUGGGGUUUGCCUUGAUUAGUUUAGCUUUCCAGUUUUCAGUGUAAGUGUGUAACUGAAGGUCACGUUUCUUCAAAUAUAAUGCUAAUUGGAACUGUUAAUAUAUAAUCCAUGAACUUGAGAUGGUAAUCGAGAUUGCAUAGCAUAAUGGUGAGUUUUGCUUUUUCUUUUUGUCUUUUUUGAGGAACCUCAAAUUCUGAAAUUUAAUAUGUUUCAAGAAUUGGAGAGACUACCUGGUUUAAUUAAAUUUGGUGAAACAUGUUUAAAGAAUUUUAGUUGAUAUAAUGGUUUCAUAAUGUAAGCUGCCGAUUGUUUGAUUUUCAGAUAGAACUUCUUGUUUAGUUUUCAACUUGUACAUAAACUAGCACUACGAAAUAGCUGAUGUUGGUGAAAGUGAUUUUCGUGCUCCAAUUCUUCAAGUUCCUCUAGCAUUUAAAUGAUUAGAAAUAUCAGCC